CUUCUGUUUUUAUUGAUUCUUUGUAUUGUUUUCUUUGUUUCUAGUUGGUUGAUUUCAGCCCUGAGUUUGACUAUUUCCUGCCUUCUCCUCUUGGCUUAUCCUCAAUUGCUUGGAGUGCAGUGGAUCCUCAACUGCCCUGAGUGCUGCGGGUCCUCAACUGCUCUGAAUGCAGCAGGUCCUCAACUGCUCUGGAUACAGCUGAUUCUCAACUGCUCUGAUUGCAGAGGGUCUUCUGGGAUGGGCCAAGGACUGACAAGGAAGCUACACCAUGAUACUUGUAAUGGCUAUUCCUGGUUGUCAGCUUGACUAUAUCUGGAAUGAACUACAAUCCAGAAUUGGAGAGCUCACCUGUGAUCCAGAUUUUUAGACACAGGAGACACAAGUUUCUGACCUGGAUCUUGGCAUGGAGAUCUUGAGGCAUAGUGGCCAUGAAAAACUCAGGCCCAGGCAAGGUAGUACACACUUUUAAUCCCAGGAGACUAAGGCAAGGAGAUCUCUUAGUUCAAGGUCAUCUGAGACAAAGCAAGUUCCAGAUUAGGUGGGAUGGUACACACCUUUAAUCUGGGCCAUACCUUCUGCUGGAGACCUACAUAAGGACAUUGGAAGAAGGAAGAUUCGCUCUUCUUCACCUGCUUGCACUAACUUGCCAGUACACCUGCUGGAACCUACUUCUACAGAAGACCAGCUGAAACAACUAGCCUCGUGGGACUGAGUAACUACUGGAUUCUUGGACUUCCCAUCCACAGCAGCCCAUUGUUAGUUUAGUUGGACUGCAGGCUGUAAAUCACAACAAAUUCCCUUAAGAUAUACUUUUUGUCUUUUUUGCUUGUUUGCUUUUUGAGACAGGGUUUCUCCUGUGUAGUCCUGGCUGUCCGGGCACUCACUAUGUAGACCAGGCUGCCUCUCUCUCUUCCCCUCCUCCCCAGUACACACACACACACACACCGAGCACUAGCAGCUGCCUUAAGUAUUUGUCAAUUCAGUUGAUUUUCAUAACCCUCACAUGCAGAAGUUAUCAACACAAGUGGUCUUUUUCAAACAAUAAAAUUAAUAAAUGACAAAGCACCGAGUCAGGCAAUAAGAAACAACUGCCUGACUGGGUGUGAUUGAGCCAGGUGCAACUCACACUUGGGGACUGAGCUCCCCAGGAAGCAGGGCAUUCCCCACUGGAGUGUCAGUGACUUCCACAAAGGUUUGGAGGAAGGAGAAUCGUGUCUCUGAGCAGGUGACUUCCACUCCACAUUGUGUGCUGACUGAUUGGAAGCCUGGCUAAAACCCACGCUUCCUGGUGUGUCCUGGCGGCAGCAGGAAGAGGCUACGUCCUAGUUACCGGAGGGGAAGGAGUUAAUGUCUAUAGAGGACUUGCUUGGUGUAAAACCUUUAUUCGUAAACAUGCAAACAUCACAUACAUGGGCUUACUUCACAAGCAAAGACUGGGUCUCAAUGAAGCAAAGGAAGAUGCUUGUGUUCUUACUGAGAGGCAGAUCCAUCUGAGGAGACUAAAGGCCAAGCUCAUUCCAGAAUAGAGAGGCAGAGAGAAUCUUUGGGGACACGAGAAGGGAAGGGAGCCCCUCACUUUGGCAUCUGGUUGAAGUUAAAUGCCAGCAAAGAAGCAAGAAUCCAGGACAAUAACUACCUCAGGCCCCCUUCCCAUCCCACCUGUAAGCCUAUAAUUUUCUGGGACUCUCACUAGAAACCCAGUCAUAGAAAAAGAUAUGUACUUAAACUCUUGUAGCUUAGCACAACUCUUGUAGCUUCUGGUUUAACCUUUUGAGAUUUUACUUCUAUCCAAGGCAUUUCUGGAGACACCCUAUAAUAGCACUAAUUGAAAUGGAAUAAAAAAGAUGAGGCAGAAGAAAAGGCUUCAUGGCUACGAGGACUUAGCUGUGCAGGCAAGAAAACUUAAACUCAAAUUCCCUAGCACACAUGUAAGAGCAGGGUGUGGCCAUGUGUGCCUGUCGCCCAGAGUCGCAUGGAAGAGAUGUCUGGCUCACGGUAGCUUUAUGGUAAACCAGUCUGGGAGCAUCGCGAGAGACACCUUCUCACAUCCUCCGCUGUGUGAACACCUACACAUUACUACUCCAUUUCUUGUUUUGAGCUGUGAAUUAUUUACAAGUGUGUUAGUUUGCAAAUAGUUAGAAGAUUUUUCUUUACAUUUUCCUGUUGUAGCAAAUUCCUCUCUACUUACAUCUGGACCAUAUCUUUGGCAGAAUCAAGGGUAUUUGACACCAGUGCUUUUUUGUGAAUUUCAUGCCAUUUGUGACAAAUACCUAAUAAUUCCACCAGAGGGCAGCAAGAAAACAGAAACAGAAGAUGUCCGUGUCUAAAAGAGGGGAGAGGGAAACUGGAAAGGUUGGGUUGAAAUUCAAAGUUGAGCAUUUUUUAAGAUGUUUCUCCGCCAUCCGAAAUUCUUCAGGUGAGAAUUCUUUGUUUAACUCUGUACCCCAUUUUUUAAUAGGGUUGUUUGGUUUUCUGGAGUCUAGUCAUUAGGGAAAGGCAAAUCAAAACAACCCUUACACCAGUCAGAAUGGCUAAGAUUAAAAAUUCAGGAGACAGCAGGUGUUGUCGAGGAUGUGAAGAAAGAGGAACACUCCUCCACUGCUGGUGGGGUUGCAAAUUGGUACAACCACUCUGGAAAUCAGUCUGGCAGUUCCUCCGAAAACUGGGCACCUCACUUCCAGAAGAUCCUGCUAUACCACUCCUGGGCAUAUACCCAAAAGAUUCCCCAGCAUGUAAUAAGGAUACAUGUUCUACUAUGUUCAUAGCAGCCCUAUUUAUAAUUGCCAGAAGUUGGAAAGAACCCAGGUAUCCCUCAACAGAAGAGUGGAUGCAAAAAAAUGUGGUAUAUAUACACAAUGUAGUACUAUUCAGCCAUUAGAAACAAUGAAUCCAUGAAAUUCUUAGGCAAAUGGAUGGAGCUGGAGAACAUCAUACUAAGUGAGGUAACCCAGACUCAAGAGAUGAAUCAUGGUAUGCACUCACUAAUAAGUAGAUAUUAACCUAGAAAACUGGAAUACCCAAAACAUAAUCCACACAUCAAAUGAGGUACAAGAAGAACGGAGGAGUGGCCCCUUGUUCUGGAAAGACUCAGUGAAGCAGUAUAGGGCAAA